rnacentral:misc_RNA from 1 species
GCAGGUGCAGCUGGACAUUCUCCUGAGCUAAAAGCAUAUUCAUUUAGUCCCGUCAAACGGAUUAUUACUUUUGCUGCAGCUAACAUAAAGGGAGUUUGACCAUUUUGGCUGACUGAUGCAUGGAUUUUCACAAGAGUAUCUUCAAAAUGCUUUUUGUUAAACUCGAUCUCAAAUCAAGUAAGACUACCCGCUGAACUUAA